GAUGAUUUGACAUCAGUGAGCCAAGCCCAUAUGGUUGUGGGAAGCAUGUAGUUCAGUUCAGUCUGUGACAGCUUGCAGCCACUAUUUCUUCAUUGAACUGGACUUUACAUAGAUUUAACUUAAUGAAUGUAUGAAUGCGGUCUGCAUAGCUACAAAAGACGGUCACGGUCAGAAUUUUUCAGAGCUAAUCUUGGUCAUUUUCCGGAAUUUUAAUCUUAAAGAUGAAAACCAUUGUCACUAUCAGUUUGGCACUUCUUUCGGCUCUGAUUGUUGCUGGGUUGAAGUUCGAAGCAACCGAAGGACAGAAUAUUACAAUAUACUUUGACAUAGAUAAAGAGGAGAAAGCAAAAGAAGUGAGGAUUACUUUUAAACAAGACAACCAUGAACAGCCCGUUGUUGUCGCUCAGCAGCCUUGGAACCAUGAAGAAACCCCUCCAGCUGGAGUUUCACUGCUGGUCGAGAAAAGACGCUUGUCUGUAACCAUUCAGAAUGUCAGCAUCUCCAGAAACUCUGGACUCUAUACAGCAGAAGUCUUCUUUGAAAAGUACACAUCUGAGGUGAAUGCUACGCUUGUUGUCAAUGAAGCAGCAUUUUCCUCCACUAUAACGCCAGAACACUCCUCCACCCCAAAACCUCUCAACAACUUGUCUCAACUCCUCUGGCUUUGUGCAUUAAUUCCUCUCGUCAUCUCAGGAGGUUGUUUACUUCUGUAAAUGCCGGAGG